rnacentral:rRNA from 1 species
CCGUGUCUAUUGUACCCUGUUGCUUCGGCGGGCCCGCCGCUUGUCGGCCGCCGGGGGGGCGCCUCUGCCCCCCGGGCCCGUGCCCGCCGGAGACCCCAACACGAACCCUGUCUGAAAGCGUGCAGUCUGAGUCGAUUGUUUGCAAUCAGUUAAAACUUUCAACAAUGGAUCUCUUGGUUCCGGCAUCGAUGAAGAACGCAGCGAAAUGCGAUAACUAAUGUGAAUUGCAGAAUUCAGUGAAUCAUCGAGUCUUUGAACGCACAUUGCGCCCCCUGGUAUUCCGGGGGGCAUGCCUGUCCGAGCGUCAUUGCUGCCCUCAAGCCCGGCUUGUGUGUUGGGUCGCCGUCCCCUCUCUCCGGGGGGACGGGCCCGAAAGGCAGCGGCGGCCCGCGUCAAUCCUCGAGCGUAUGGGGCUUUGUCAUAUGCUCUGUAGGAUUGGCCGGCGCCUGCCGACGUUUUCCAACCAUUCUUUCCAGGUUGACCUCGGAUCAGGUAGGGAUACCCGCUGAACUUAAGCAUAUCAAUAAGCGGAGGA